rnacentral:rRNA from 1 species
CGGCGUCGAGCGGCGGACGGGUGAGUAAUGCCUGGGAAAUUGCCCUGAUGUGGGGGAUAACCAUUGGAAACGAUGGCUAAUACCGCAUAAUAGCUUCGGCUCAAAGAGGGGGACCUUCGGGCCUCUCGCGUCAGGAUAUGCCCAGGUGGGAUUAGCUAGUUGGUGAGGUAAGGGCUCACCAAGGCGACGAUCCCUAGCUGGUCUGAGAGGAUGAUCAGCCACACUGGAACUGAGACACGGUCCAGACUCCUACGGGAGGCAGCAGUGGGGAAUAUUGCACAAUGGGCGCAAGCCUGAUGCAGCCAUGCCGCGUGUAUGAAGAAGGCCUUCGGGUUGUAAAGUACUUUCAGCAGUGAGGAAGGUGGAUGCGUUAAUAGCGUAUUCAUUUGACGUUAGCUGCAGAAGAAGCACCGGCUAACUCCGUGCCAGCAGCCGCGGUAAUACGGAGGGUGCGAGCGUUAAUCGGAAUUACUGGGCGUAAAGCGCAUGCAGGUGGUUUGUUAAGUCAGAUGUGAAAGCCCGGGGCUCAACCUCGGAAUUGCAUUUGAAACUGGCAGACUAGAGUACUGUAGAGGGGGGUAGAAUUUCAGGUGUAGCGGUGAAAUGCGUAGAGAUCUGAAGGAAUACCGGUGGCGAAGGCGGCCCCCUGGACAGAUACUGACACUCAGAUGCGAAAGCGUGGGGAGCAAACAGGAUUAGAUACCCUGGUAGUCCACGCCGUAAACGAUGUCUACUUGGAGGUUGUGGCCUUGAGCCGUGGCUUUCGGAGCUAACGCGUUAAGUAGACCGCCUGGGGGAGUACGGUCGCAAGAUUAAAACUCAAAUGAAUUGACGGGGGCCCGCACAAGCGGUGGAGCAUGUGGUUUAAUUCGAUGCAACGCGAAGAACCUUACCUACUCUUGACAUCCAGAGAAGCCAGCAGAGAUGCAGGUGUGCCUUCGGGAGCUCUGAAGACAGGUGCUGCAUGGCUGUCGUCACCUCGUGUUGUGAAAUGUUGGGUUAAGUCCC